GGAAUGACGUAAGAAAGAUAGGCAUGAGCAUGUGGUAACUAGGUUAGCACGUGUGCUUCCCAGCCCAGGAGCGACCAAAUACUGUGGUGGCGUCAGGUGUGCAGUGGAGAGGAAUAUAGAGGCUGUAUGGCCUCCCUCAGUGAGGGCAGGGCAAGAGGGAUCACUCUGAGAGAACAAAAAUAGGCCCCAAGUUGCUAAGCAGUGAUUGGGAACCUUCCUUUCCUUGGCGGAGAUGCAUGACAUUCCCUACCGAUCCCCAGACACAGCCUGUGGGACUCUUAGGAGAAAUGGUGAUUUACUGAAUAACUGACCCGUUGCCGAGAUGAGUACAAUGAAGUGGAGGUGAUGAACUCAAAUCGUCUUCCAGGGCCAGGCGGCUGACCGGGGUGAGCGUAGUGGCCCGCUGGGGACCAUGGCCGCCCUGACAGCCACACCCACCUGGAGCUGACUUGGUUCUGGCUGUUGCUGCCACUGUGAAAUCUGUAUCUCUCUCCAUCUCUGCUCUACUAUCCCCGGCCUUGCCAGACAGUGUUCUUUUUCGGAAGAAGUCUAGAUUUUUGCAUGAAAAAAACUCAAUCUUUAAAGGUCGACUCAGAACAUUUUAAGGAGGCCUCCACUUGGUCUGAUGCAGUCUUGCUAAUUAAGAACUAAAGGCCUUCUGACCUUCUUGGUGCUCAUGCUGUACGGCAUCUGAAUGUCUCGACCGAGUCUGAGCCGUGCAGCUGUCCUCCACCUGCGAAAGUAAUGAGAAUCCUAUCACGGGACAUAAGGAUAGGUCUAAACAGGGUCCAUGCCAAGAAAACAGUGGGGUGCUCUCCCAGGCCUCUCCCCUGUCCACUAACCCUGGCCUUGCCGGCUGCCUUCCAGGCUCUGGGGGAAGAGCUCCUGCAUUCUUCCCUGGCCACCUUGGCUCCAGGGCUCCCCAGAGAGCCUCUUCCCUCCCCAAGUACCUGAGAAAGAUGAGAGAGGCACGUGCUCUGCUGGGAAGGUCCAGUGAGCGGUUCAAGGGCCUGGAAUCUCCCUACGGCCAAGUCUAAGGGUUCUGGGAUUCUGGGCUUUGUGGGCUUUGCUUGCUUGCUGGGAAUGGGCUUUCCCUGUCCCGCCCUGCCCCACCUCGCCUCUGUCUCUCAGAAGCUCCAGAACCCAGCAGUGACCUGCAAAAUGUGGCCUCUGAUGGGGGCUUAGGGUGGGAGAUGGGGAGAGCCUACAUUGUCUUUUGCUCCUUGAAAACUUUAAUAGCUCCUAUUUUCCAGAGAAUGGUGCUUUGUGAGCAACAUGCGAGUAAGAGAGAAAUAGGAGGAAGGGGGAGUAGGGGCGGAUGGGAGAAGAGUGGCUCAUUUUUACCUCUCACUGCCUUGACAUUUUGUGAACGUGAAGCUUAAACUUUCUGGGCUUACAAGACCCAGGGGCACGUCAGCUCCUUAGAUGGGCUCAGCCUGACACAUAAUUCUUAAACCUUUCCUGUUUAAGAAACUUCUAGAGGCUGUGUACUCUCACCAAUCCUCUUCGAGAAUUUGUUCAUGUGUAUUUCCCCAUUAUAUGGAUGAGGCUCAGGAUAACAGCAUAGUGGCUACCUUCUACUGAGUUUUGAGGUGCUAAUAAGUAUGUUUGUCUGAGGCUGCACAUGUGGGUGGCUCUGUGUGUAUGAUCCAAGGGACAAAAUGACGAUGUAGGAACCAGCAAGAACGGAAUCUGGGCUGAUGCUUCAGUCUCCACCUGGGUGAUGGCUAGCCUCCCGCCCUCCACCACCGCAUCCCACACGUGCUGCGCACUGUCCCCGUGUCUCCUGGAGAACCAAACUGGAGAAAACCUUUCUGAGUAUCUCUCAUAGUACCCCUUCCUUAAGAAGAUGUGGUUUAGAGCAUGUGUGCAAUCCUGCCUCUGUAAUUAGGAAACGGAGCCCGAGGCUUUCCAUUGUUGGUUGAACCCAGGACAGCUGGUGCUAUUCACAGGCUGAAGAACUGGGCAGUUCUUACUUGGGUCUGUCCUAGGAUGUGGAGGAAGUUCAGGACUAACGCUAGGCAGAGAGUAUGACUCGGUUUACCCAGCCUAGGGGCCUCUGGAUGGGAACACUCCAUUCCAAGAUCUCAGCAGAGCAGGGCUUCCUGGCUUGAGGCUGGAAGCCUUUGGGAAGAGGCCCAGCUGGGACAUUCCCUGGGCACCUGUCUUCCGCUGAAGGGAGCAAGGUGCCCUCUGGGACUGACAGCCAUGACCCUCUGUGCCAUCCUCAAUCCUUGAGCCAUAUAUCAAGAGUCCUCUAGAGCCGGAUGGUCCUCAAAAGUCUGUCCAAGGAAUGCCAACGUUCACCGGGCUCUGAGAAACGACGCAAAUCUCUGAGCUGGGGACCACUUGGAGAACCGGCUUAGUAACAGUCCUGAUCUUCGCAAGCCAGCUUCUUCUGCAUCUGAGGGGCUCCUGGCGCCCAGAGGAGGCAGACAGAUGUCUUCUAGCUGAGUUUCUAACCGCAUGAUGAGACUCAGACCUUCCGCUGCACUAGAAAAUCUGCAACAGUGUCCCUGAGUCACUUCUCCUUAGUGGGCAGACUCGUGUUAGAUUUGUGGAACCCAGCUCUCUGAUUUACUCCUUUUGGAAAACCCAUGGAAUUUCAUGUAUAAGGCUUUCAUUUGUAUUUUAAGGUUUUUCUGUUUGUUUUGAGUAUAUACAUGGUGCUCAAUAGCAACAUCUUAGCAGAUGAAGCAGUUUAUGAUUCCACUCCCUCCUGUAUGACAGGUAGCCACUAUACUGAAUCAAGGUGCUGAACUCAAAUCACAAAAUUCUGGCUUACCGAUACAACAACCAAUACAUCUUUGUUCUGUAAUGUAAAAUUUGACUCCUUACUUUUAUAACUUAUUAAAGUUAAAAUGUCUGUGUUUUUGCAAAUCA
rnacentral:lncRNA from 1 species